GACGAGGGGUCCAAGCGUUGUUCGGAAUCAUUGGGCGUAAAGCGGGUGUAGGUGGCUCUGUAAGUCAGGAGUGAAAGCCCCAGGCUUAACCUGGGAAGUGCUUUUGAUACUGCAGAGCUUGAAUGUGGGAGAGGAUGGUGGAAUUCCUGGUGUAGUGGUGAAAUACGUAGAUAUCAGGAGGAACUCCGGUGGCGAAGGCGGCCAUCUGCCAACAUUGACACUGAGACCCGAAAGCGUGGGGAUCAAACAGG
rnacentral:rRNA from 1 species